AAAAGGUCACGGAUCGCCUACAGUGACGAAGUACGGAAUGAGCUCCUAGGGGAUGCUGGGAAUUCCUCAGAGAACCAGAGGGCACAUCUGCUGGAUAACACGGAAAGGCUGGAGAGGUCAUCUCGGAGACUAGAGGCUGGAUACCAGAUAGCAGUGGAGACCGGAACCAAGGAAGUAGACUGCAUGUAUUAAUGCUGAGGAAGCUGAAGAAGACCACCAUGUGCCCAGCUUUUACCAGCGUGCACCGCUGCUUCCUGAAGUUACUGACAGGCGUGCUCUCUGCCCGACGGGGCCCCUUUGGUUUGGAGCUCACCCUUAGAGCAGACUCUUGGGAGGUACAUGGUCAGUGGAAGGAGCCACCUUUCAGUUUUCCCGUUUCACAGACACAAAAUCAUUUCACUUCCCUGAGCCUCUUCAUUCUUCAAUAAAAUAGAAGUAAAUCGC
rnacentral:lncRNA from 1 species